GAUGAACGCUGGCGGCGUGCCUAAUACAUGCAAGUCGAGCGAACGGACGAGAAGCUUGCUUCUCUGAUGUUAGCGGCGGACGGGUGAGUAACACGUGGAUAACCUACCUAUAAGACUGGGAUAACUUCGGGAAACCGUAGCUAAUACCGGAUAAUAUUUUGAACCGCAUGGUUCAAAAGUGAAAGACGGUCUUGCUGUCACUUAUAGAUGGAUCCGCGCUGCAUUAGCUAGUUGGUAAGGUAACGGCUUACCAAGGCAACGAUGCAUAGCCGACCUGAGAGAGUGAUCGGCCACACUGGAACUGAGACACGGCCCAGACUCCUACGGGAGGCAGCAGUAGGGAAUCUUCCGCAAUGGGCGAAAGCCUGACGGAGCAACGCCGCGUGAGUGAUGAAGGUCUUCGGAUCGUAAAACUCUGUUAUUAGGGAAGAACAUAUGUGUAAGUAACUGUGCACAUCUUGACGGUACCUAAUCAGAAAGCCACGGCUAACUACGUG
rnacentral:rRNA from 1 species